CUGAUGGUUGUGCAAUCUGUUAAAAAAAAAAAGCUUUAAAAGGUUGCUGGCUGCCUCGUUCUGCUUUCGCUCCCGGGGGUUGCUGCUGCCUGCGCUCUCCACCCAUUCCCCUCCGCACGUGGCUGCCGGCUCACUAGCUAAGCCAUGCUUAGACGCCAUUUUGAGUUUAAGCCAACAAAAGAGCAGUAUGCUGCCAACAAAAUGGGCAAAAUAUGGAAACAGCUACCAAAAGGCGUGGGUAAAAGAAGAGGAGUUGGAAGAUUGGAUAAAGCCUGUGGUUGGUGAUGACGACAGCAAAGCUGCAUGCAGAUUUGUAAAAAUCCAGAUUCUUGCACAUCAUGCAGGGACUGACAAACAUAAAACAAAUGCAACACCGUUUUCUUCUAUGCACCUGACAGAUACUGGAUUUACAGAAUCAAAGCUUCAACCAUGAUGCACCAAGCAGAUUUAAAUCUAGCCUGCUACAUUGCCUGCCAGUCAGAGAUUAGUUCCAUGGAUCACCUUGGGGACGUUGUCAGAUCAGCGUUUCAAAAAGAGGGAAAACCUCAACUGACAUCUCCAUGCUGAAUUUUCAAAGGUGACUUGGGGGCCUUGGAUGCACAGUAUCAAGCCAUCAACUUCCAGCAAUGGAAGAGCACAGAUGUGGAGCAGUUCUGGGUGGAAGUAUACAAUUUUCAAGACAGUAGGGGUGAACAGUGCUUUAAAGAGCUAGUCCUGUUUGCACUUUCCCUACUCGCCAUGCCUCUGAGUAAUGCUGAUGUGGAACAAGUGUUCACCCGAGAGAAGUCCAAGCACUGGAACGGGAUGAGUCGCCGACUCUGGCAGCAGGAGGCCAGCCCACUGGGAGUCUGAAGAGCCAUGGAUCACACAUGAACAAUCCUGAAAGAAAAUGGAGCACCUCAGCAACAUUCCACAUUCGUACCCAUUUCUAGAUAAAUACACUAAAUGCAGAUGUUCUGCUUAUAAAUGGGACGCUUUGAAGACAAUCUCACUUAAACACUAAUAAUCUUUACUGCUGAAAACAUCUGAGUCUCCAGUCCUUACUCAGCAAAAUAAGUUGACCAGUAACUAGUAUGGUUGACUACUCAUGCAAACAAAUUGUGGUGAGUAAUGCUGACAGGAGCAUAUUAUGGUGGUGGUGUACAAAGCCCAAAGGAUAAGAUGCUCUUUUGGUACUGCAUUGGAAUAGGGCUAUUCUAUUUGUAUUCCAGUGGUGCCUCGAGGCCUAUAGUGAGACUGGGGCUCUGUUCUAACUGCUGUAGAAAGGUAAUGGAUUUAAUGAUUUCGGGCAGGGCAGAAUGUCUACACAGGGGUUCUCGUGACUCCUCAUGGGGUUGCAAGGUGGUUACAUGGAGGUCACGAGCCCUCGUUAAAUUAAAUUUUCCUCCCCCCAUUUUUAAUUUAUAAGGGGUGAGGGUCACACUGAGGCUUGCUGUGUGAAAGAGGUCACCAUGCAAAAAGUUUGAAAACGGUUGGUCUACAGAAUAAGAGGCUGUUGUGCCCUGCUAUAAUGAGUUAUGAUGAUUUAAUUUGAAGCAGCAAUUUAAAGGCCUUUACUUCCAUAUGUACUACUCAGCAGUAUGUGUGGCCGCAGAAAUGCUGCCCUCUAGUGAGCAAAACCACUUAAAUAGGAUGGUUAGAGAAAGUGGUGGCCUGGUUACUGUCUGUGCGUACAAUAUGUCAGACUUAUUAGAAUGUCUUUCAGUGCUAAAAAUGCUGCUUCUAGGGGAUGGUAUAAAUUGAUGCAGUUGUCUGGUUUGCCUGUGUAUUUCAGUGUAAUAAAAUAUUUGCUUAGUGACA